rnacentral:pre_miRNA from 1 species
GAUGUGCUCUCCUGGCCCAUGAAAUCAAGCGUGGGUGAGACCUGGUGCAGAACGGGAAGGCGACCCAUACUUGGUUUCAGAGGCUGCGAGAAUA